CCGUCGGGCCUCUGGAAAGGCCCGGGAUUCCCACGGGCUGAGCUGGAGGCGGCUCCCCCAGCCCCCGGCCGGAGUAAGAAAUACGAGCAGUCGACAAACGGUUCCCACAUCCUCCCAUCUUACUAACUAGCGCCGCCAGCGUUUCGGGCGCGGGGCCGGCCUAGUUCAGCUCAGGCCAGAAGUGCUGCUCCCGCUUCAGGACCCAGGAGGACACUGCGCGUCUCCUGCAGAUGCGCCCCCCAGGACCUCGAGUGACCCCCUCGACCACCACCACCUCCCCCCCCGCCCCAGCCCGUCUGAGGGCCAUGUGGGUGCGCAUCGGUCUACGGGGAUGGCGGUGGUGGUGCCCGGACUGCCUGGUGGGGAAGGCGCAGAGGGCUGGAAGCUGGGGUUGAUUGGCGACUGGUUCUCCCGCUUGGUCGCUGUGCGCAGGCCCUCAAGGCCAGGCCGGAAGCAGGCCUCAGGCUAAGCCAAACCAGCGGACCGGUGAGCCCCAGAUGUGGUCACCCCGACAGGCAGUCAGGAAGAGCUGCGAGGAUACCCCCUUUUUCCAGCACCUGCCUUCGGCGGCUUGGGUGAGGCACCAAGGAGGCUCCAGAAAGCACUUACCCUCCCCCAGGAGGUUGGUGUUCAUGACUUUUAGUGCUGCCGGAAGCUGACACUGGGACCAAUUGGGAAGCUGGGCGACACACAGGAUACCCAUCCCACCACCUCUUGCUGCCAUAGGUAAGAAGUUUCUGUGAACACCAGCCCUUAGUGUCUUACUGCUUUCAAAGGUUUCUUCCCAGGCUGACAAGGUUGGCACGGUUAAGAAGUAUAGUAGCAUGGUGCAGAGUAGGGAUGCAACACACGUCUACAGAAUAAGCAAAUGACAGCGUGCACAAUGCCUACGUUUUUUUGAGAUUGACCUGAGAAUCAAUGUGGAUUGUUGGUGGAUUUUCAAAAAACAUUUAACUGUUCAUUUGAGAAACAGCACAAGCAGGGGUAGAGGCACAGGGCAAGGAAGCAGCAGACUCCCCACUGAGCUGGGAGCCCAAUGUGGGACCCGAUCCCAAGACCUGGGGAUCAUGACCUGAGCUGAAGGCAGAUACUCAACAUUCUGAGCCACCCAGGUGCCGGGUGCCCAGGUGGAUUUCUUUUUAAGAUUAAUCGAUUGAUUGAUUGAGGAGAAAGAAAGCACGAGCAGGCAGAAGCAGAGGGAAAAGCAGGCUACCCACUAAGCAAGGAGCCCAAUGCAGGACUUGAUCCCAGGAUACUGGGAUCAUGACCUGAGCCAAAGGCAGGCGCUUAACCGACUAAGCUACCUAGGUGUCCUGCCUGGGUGAAUUUCUGAAGUAAAAGCCUGAGGAACUUCUUGGAGCAUCUGAACAUUCUAGUAAAAAAUUUCUCAGUCUUUCCUUAUAUAAGUCAUCCCUUGUGAAGAUAUAAAAUUUUUAAAGCUGAAAUCAGUUAGCAAAACCCUCAAAAUGUUAUUUUACCAGGAAAACGUAUUUUUGGGAUAUAGUCAAACUCCAGAGCAUCACCAUAGUCCUCUAGUUCAACUCAGAUGAUCUUUUUAUUGAGAACAGUUCAAACAUUUCUCAAAUAAACUUUUGGCUGGAAUUUAUUUUAAAUUAGAUGUGUGUGUGAGUGGGGGGGAAGUUCCCUGUAUGCAGAAUGCAAAUAAUGUAUUCCCAGUAUGAAAUGGUCUAUAAAAAUACUUCUCUAAAUAUAUCCUCCUGCAAAUGGUCAAAUGGAGAUUCCAGGAGGCCUUCACCCCCUCCCCAAGUCACAGUGACUAGAAACAUCUGUCAUUUUUUCUUCCCUGACUUCUUUGGGUUUUCUUUUACUUACUUUGUAAGUUUCUAUUUUCUGUGCAUUACAAAAGGCUAGUAGGAAGCUUAAAUUUGCCCAUGUCCCUUGGCCACAGAGUAAGUCCACCGACAUGUGUGCCACCCAUGGGCAAUUUCCAGGAAGAGGAACAUCUAUUAUGAACCAAAUGUUUUCGGGAACUUCUAAGUGAACCAUUAAUCUACUGGGAGCAACUUGGCUCUCUUCUUAGUUCUCUGGAGGCUCAAAUGAAAGAGAAUUCUUCCUAAGUCACAGCCUAGCAACAAGGAUGAACAAAGCCGACUUCAUCCAUGUUAGACCCAGGAAUCACUGCAACACUUUUUCAUGCCAACUUAUAUUUUUAAUAAUCUUUAUUGCCUUUCUGAUUUAAAUCAUAGGAUAUAUUCAUUACAAAACUUGAAAGUCACAUAGGCACAGAAGGGAAAUACAAGACUAUAUAUAUAUAUAUGUAUAUGUAUGUGUAUAUAUAUAUCCACUUUUAUUAUCAAUGUUUUCAGAGAAAAGUUGAAUAGUACAAUGAACAACAUAUAUGGGCUCCACCUAGAUUCAAUUAAUGUUAUCUUUUUUCUUCCUGUAUUGUGUAUUUUGUGAGUCAUUUAAAAAUUGUUAUGAAGCUUUAUCCCUAAUAUUCGAAGAGUAAAGACACUGGCCUACCUAAGUACAAGGACAUUAUCAUACCUAAGAAAGUACUUUCAUUAUCACUUUAUCCCAUUUCCCAGUUUCCAAUUACCUCAAGAACUGCCAGUCGUGUUUUACCCUUGAGAAUAUCCCACAUUCUGUACUUGUCUGUUUCCUCCUAAUGUUGCUUAGCUUAUUCCUUUACGCACAGCCCCCCUUCCUGUCAGCUGGAGAUUGGAUCUAGCUGCUGCAUUAGGUUGUGGUGAACAUAUUUUUUCCUUGGUGCUGUUCUAGUUUUCAUCUCGUCUCAUUCGGAAACACAUGUGAGGUUGUCGCUGAUGCCAGGUUUGAGUGCAUGAUUACAGUGGUGACAGAUCAGUCCAUUAUGAGAGGUUGAUUUUUUUUUUCCUUCUGCGAGUUAUCUGUACAACAUUUGAGCACUGUCAAGAUUCUGUUCCUCAACAGCCUUUUUCUGAAGGUCCUGGCAUCCACUGAUGCCUGCCUGAUUGAUGACUUAAGUGGUCAGGCUCUAUAUUAAAACACUGAAUCCUCUCAUACAUGCCAAGUAUGCAGACUCGUCUUUGGGACAACAGAUAGGUAAACUUGAGUCAGCAGACUGUUUCCAUUAAGGCUGGAAGACGGUUUGUCAAGACUGUAUUGCAGGGUAGAGCUGCUGGGCAAAGGCCCCUGAUGAGCUCUGCAUGUGGCUCCCCAACUAAGACAACUCACACUGGAAAACCGCAAAUACCAGCCCACAUUUAAAGUGUGUCCACGCUCCAGGAGCAUGUAGGCCGCUUGGAUCUGCUUAGUCUACUUGGGCAAGACCCAUGUAUCAGACCUGCCUUGCUGAUAAACCCGGGUUU